rnacentral:tRNA from 1 species
GCCCCAAUAGCUCAGCGGAUAGAGCAACUGCCUUCUAAGCAGUGGGCCGGAGGUUCGAGUCCUCCUUGGGGCGCCA